rnacentral:lncRNA from 1 species
UGGACUUGAGAUCACCACAGACCAAAGGCCAUAAAUCAAGGCCAAGAUCUGAUUUACAAUAAAGAAAAAACCACAGAUCUGAUUUACAGAAGUGAGAGGGUUAGAGAGAAGAAAAAUCGCCUAAGAGUCAAACUAGAACCCAACUAAAUGUAAAAUGAAUGCCACACAAACCAUCUGUCGGGCCAAGUCAAGAGUCAACACAAAUGAAUCUAAACCACAGCCGUUGAUCUUGAUCAACUUUCC